rnacentral:rRNA from 1 species
CCCUUAACGAGUAACCAUCAGAGGGCAAGUCUGGUGCCAGCAGCCGCGGUAAUUCCAGCUCUGAUAGCGUAUAUUAAAAGUUGUUGCAGUUAAAAAGCUCGUAGUUGGAUUUUAGAGUAUAUUGAUAUGGUCUCUUGUGAUAAACUUGUUGUACUGUAUUAAUUACUCUUUCCUACUGGUUACUCGACUCUGUUCUUUAUUGCAUGGAGUAGUGUCGCAAGGCAUCGCUUAGUAUUUUAUUGCUUUUAGAUGUAGUAAUUGGGUAAAACUGGUUAUGAAACCUAAGGGAUCACAGUAAAGUAUUAAGUGGGGUUCCAGUUCAUUUACUUUGAGUAAAUUAGAGUGUUCAAAGCAGCCUGUAUGGGCAUUGAAUAGAUUAGCAUGGGAUAAUAGAAUAGGAUUCUUACCUAUUUAUUGGUUUAUAGGUUUAGAAUAAUAGAUUAAUAGGAUAGUUGGGGGC